UCGGACCGUUGCGGAAUUUCAUUAAGAACACUGCACGAAAGAUGCGGCGGUUAGCCAACUUGCUAGGUUGCCGCGAAGGCGAAAUUCCGCAAUCCUCCUCUUCUCCAGAGCGGGAGAUUCCUGACGACGAGGAAAUUCUGAGUCAAAGCAUACCUCCAA